GUGUGGUCCUAAUUGCAGCAUCAGAAAGCUCCACCUCUCCCUCUCGUCUGGCUUGGCUGCAGUGGAGACAAACCUCAUCUGGGAGCAGGAUGCCUGUGGUGUGUGUGUGAAGCUCUGGAGUUUUUCAUCAGUUCCCGUGCCAACCCAACCCGUGCCUGGCCAAGCUGAACCAUCUUGUGGGAUUUUUGGCUUUUAAUUAUAGGAUUAUCCCAUCAUGCUCUGUGUUGUCCCAACACAUUCCAGAUGGAUACUGGUUCCCUGCUGUCUGACGCUGCAAUGAUAACAAGCUGAGGAGGUCUUCCACAGAGGGAACCCUCCGUCAAUCCGACAACCUGGCUUCAAGAAACAUCCACCCUUCUGAAAUAGUAUGUAAAACUCUAUAGCACUGGGUUACAUAGUUCUUGAUUGUCUUAAUAAAAAAAGUAUAAGCAUAAAAGAAUCAAUCAAACAAGAAAAGGUGUACAUCUAUAUGAAUCAAAGAACUGAACUGUCACCUCUGGAUGGGGGCAAAGAGAAAAAAAUAAUCAAUAACAGUUCAUUCUAAAUUGUAAUUACACUAACAGGACAGCAGAUGGUGCCUUCGCAUCCUUCAUCACCAACACAUUGCAGCACAACCACCUGGUUCUGGCAGUGCAGCUUUCCCAAGUGUAUGUGACAAUGACUGUUUCUGUGAGCAGUACCUGUGUAUUGUGCGAUGUGUAUGUUAUAUAACUGGAUGGAGGGGGAUGAGUUCAGAGUCAAGUGAGGUGUUGACUGACAGGCAGUGCCUCUCUGUUCCCCUCAACAAAAUUACCAGGACACCUGCUAUGACGUUACAAAGCCUCUCUGUGAUCCUGAUUAAUGGAAUAUCUCACCUUUUACAGUGAUGUUUGUCCCUGAAAUCCCCUGUGAAGGUAUCAGCUUAUUACUGCUAUAGAGCACCUGGCAGGUAGAAUGAAAGAGAGUAUUUUUUGAAUGGACUCUAAUAACGAUUUUUGUCUCCCUCUGUUUCUUGUUCAGUUGUUUUUUUCUUCUUAAUUCAUUCGGAAUGCACACCCAGAAUGCAUUUGGCCUUUGUAGCAGAUCAGGUCUCGUCUGUAGGGGGGCUGAGGGGCCUGUCAAUUACUUUCAUAACAGGGAGGUUUUUGUCAGCUCUUGCUCCACUGACUGUCACAUGGUACAAGAUGCCCUGUAUCAGAGAUAGAAUUACACACUUUCUCCUAAUCUGUCUUUGGAGCUGGCUUGGAGUGUCUCCAGUGUGUGUGUGUGUGUGUGUGUGUGUGUGUGUGUGUGUGUGUGUGUUACAGUGCACAGUGCACAGUGCACAUGUCACACAUUUUGUACAGCAUGUCCCUGCUUGCUGCUGGAGUUAUUAUCAUGCUUGGUGUUCCCAGCCUGUAAGUGUGAUCUGUCUUCCAGGGGUUUUUCCUCUGGUUCUGCCAGGUUCUGUCAGUGAUUUAAUGACAUCCCCGACACAAAAUGUAUAAACACAGUGAAGUGUAAUAAAAAUAGAAGCAUGUAUGAGCCCGCAUAUAGAUGGGUUUAGCCAAUGUCUGUAAAUAUACAUAGCAGCAUCACGGGUAGAGCAAGUGACAUGAGGUUUAAUUAGAGGUACAAACAAAUAGAGACACCCCCAGGGGUAUUCAAAACCACACUGUAGAGAGGCAAACAGGUGUUACAUAACAAUAUACAAAUAACAGAUCAAAUGAUAACAAAUGCAUUAAAGUGGCACAGCAUCAGGACACUGGAAAUAUCAACAUCCUCUGAGGUACACACAUAAAAUACUGGUGAUUUCCUUUGUUAAUCCAUUUAUGUGCAAAUUAGUGUGGUUUCCAAUUAGAGCAUUUUGUUCUACUUGUCAGUGUGUCAGCAGUGUGGAGUAAUUUUGUUAAUAUGACAGACUGCCCAAGGAUUUUACAAUGCCUGGCUGCUCUGACACUUCUGUGUUCAUAGAUUUGAAAGCUUACCUGACAAUUUGUCUCUCUAGUAAUCCAUACAGCAGAGGGGGAGGGUGGUUGUGUCUGUAGUGCAACACUGUAUACAUUUUCAUUAUUUACUGCUUUGACAUAUUGGUGUUUGUUAAAGUGUUUACUUUCUUCAUAUUACACAAAGCCAAAGAGCUUCACAUUUAACCAGGAAUAAAGAAAAUUGUUGCAUUUGCCCAAGAACAGAGUGGUUGCCUGAAUUAAAAAAAUUAAAAUCUGAUUUACUGGUGCCCUAAAUCAGAUUUGCUGGUGUACUAAUCCAGACAGUAUUAUUUAGCAUGGUUUCUCUGUUCUCAGUCAACCUAUAGUAAAAUACCAAAAUGGUUAUAGUCUCUUACUGUGUAACUGUAAGUAUUCCACAUGUGCUAAUAUCCUUUUUGACAAAUCACAUCAAACUUUCUUUAAGUUAACUAUUGUGUUCCUGUGUGUAGUGCAGCACAUAGCUUACAAGUCCCUGAGGUUUAUGUACCAUGGAAGCACCCUCUUGUCUGACCAGUUGUAAUUAGGUCACUGAUUGGAUUUUAAUUUUUUUGUAAACAUGUUGUUAAUUUACUUGAUUGAUAAUUUUUUCUUAAUAAACAUCUUGGUGUUUAUCUGCAGUUACUUUCCUUUCUAAAUAGACAAACAGAGGCUGAAAGAAGCAUUUUAUUUUGCCAGAGAGCUGUGAUUAUUUUUGGAGAUUAAGUGCCUUAUCUUUUAUUUGAGUCUCAGAUGACAGCUGAUCGUCUUAUUUAUGUUUACUGUGCCAGCCUUGCACUUGCUUGUUUAGUCUGUGUUUGACUAUUUUCAUGUUCUUUCCAGUUUUAUCUUGGCUUGUCCUCCCAGGUUUGCUCAUUGGGGCUGUGCAGCAAACUCCUGCUUUACAGUGAUGCAAACAAAGUUGAAUAGAAUAGAGCAGCUUAAUCAUCCAAAUGUGGAAACUUUUCAUGGGCCGACACAGAAGCAUUAUACUGGUCAGUGUAUGCCAAUAAAAUUGUUGAAAAUAUAUUUGGAAAGGAAGUCUGGCACAAAGGAUUACUUCGAUCAUGUUUAAGUUCUUGCUGCAGUGAUGUACAAGUAUACUCUGGUGCAUUGUGACAUCACUGUAGGUGUGGUUACAAGUGCAACAGAGCAUACUUUUGACCACACCAAAUAGUGAUACUAGGUUUAGUUUUAGCCUCAUAUAUAUCAUAUUUGCAAUUGUGGACUACCCAACUUCCCUACAACUGAAAGUCAGUCCGACAUUUACUCUUGUCCGGUGGCUUCUCUCAUCUUGUCUUUUUGCCUCUGUCCAUAGAAGCUAUUGAGCCUGGUUACAUUACCUUGAAUCUGUAUCUUAUUUGUUUAUAGGGAGAACAUAGGCACCUGGGUGCACCAGCCUAUUACAUCCUCCUUAGACAAAACACCAUCAAUGAGGCCUUUCUGGCUCAUAAAAAAAACUGCCCCUCACUCCCUGAUUGCCCAGGCUUUAAUUAAAAAAGGUUUCUCAGUUUAGUAGUUCAUUAUUUGACAAUUACUCAAUCACUGGUUUCAUUAAAUGCUGGAGUUCUGUGGCUUGUUGUGAGCCGGACUCUCAAACAGAGCCUAUUAAACAUUGCUCAUGAAAUAUUGCACAAUUCCUGCUUAAGUUAUGCAACAACACUGGAACAAAAUCAAAUGGGAUCGGGUGACUGAAAAAGAUUACAUUUCUUCAGAAACUACUUAGACAGUCUGCAUUUUGUCUAGCUUGUCAAUAUUUUCAUAAACCUAAACAACAACGUUUCAGACUUCAUGUAUAUGAAGAGAUGCAAUAAUGAGUUUCCACCUCCAGGCAUGUGGAGGUGUUGCUUUGCUUUAGACAGGAGUGGCUUUGUAGCAGAGUCAAACACCCAGACAAACCAUUUAAAAAACCA